AGUUGUCCGGAUUUACUGGGUGUAAAGGGUGCYCAKGUGGGUUUGUAAGUCAGAGGUGAAAUCCCAAAGCUUAACUUUGGUGCUGCCUUUGAUACUGCAAGUCUGGAGUUUGAGAGAGGGUAAUGGAAUAUCUGGUGUAGCAGUGAAAUGCGUAGAUAUCAGAUAGAACACCAAUGGCGAAGGCAGUUACCUGGCUCAAUACUGACGCUAAAGCACGAAAGUGUGGGGAGCAAACAGGAUUAGAUACCCUGGUAGUCCACACCCUAAACGAUGAAUACUAGAUGUUGGUUUUUUAUAAAAUCAGUAUCCAAGCUAACGCAUUAAGUAUUCCACCUGGGAAGUACAAUCGCAAGGUUG
rnacentral:rRNA from 1 species